UCGAGGGGUAACAGGGGAGAGCUUGCUCUUUCGCUGACGACCGGCGCACGGGUGCGUAACGCGUAUACAACCUACCUUUUGGAGGGGAAUAGCCCAGGGAAACUUGGAUUAAUGCCCCAUAGUAUGGGAAUAUCUCCUGAUAUUUUCAUUAAACAUUUAUGGCCAUUAGAUGGGUAUGCGUCCUAUUAGUUAGUUGGUAAGGUAACGGCUUACCAAGGCAGCGAUAGGUAGGGGUCCUGAGAGGGAGAUCCCCCACACUGGUACUGAGACACGGACCAGACUCCUACGGGAGGCAGCAGUGAGGAAUAUUGGACAAUGGGCGAGAGCCUGAUCCAGCCAUGCCGCGUGCAGGAAGACUGCCCUAUGGGUUGUAAACUGCUUUUACAGAGGAAGAACCACUCCCACGUGUGGGAGUUUGACGGUACUCUGCGAAUAAGGAUCGGCUAACUCCGUGCCAGCAGCCGCGGUAAUACGGAGGAUCCAAGCGUUAUCCGGAAUCAUUGGGUUUAAAGGGUCCGUAGGCGGGCAGUUAAGUCAGUGGUGAAAGUCUUCCGCUCAACGGGAGAACUGCCAUUGAUACUGAUUGUCUUGAGUUAUUAUGAAGUGGUUAGAAUGAGUAGUGUAGCGGUGAAAUGCAUAGAUAUUACUCAGAAUACCGAUUGCGAAGGCAGAUCACUAAUAAUAUACUGACGCUGAUGGACGAAAGCGUAGGUAGCGAACAGGAUUAGAUACCCUGGUAGUCUACGCCGUAAACGAUGGUUACUAGCUGUUCGGCCCGAUUAAGGGCUGAGUGGUUAAGCGAAAGUGAUAAGUAACCCACCUGGGGAGUACGUUCGCAAGAAUGAAACUCAAAGGAAUUGACGGGGGCCCGCACAAGCGGUGGAGCAUGUGGUUUAAUUCGAUGAUACGCGAGGAACCUUACCAGGGCUUAAAUGUAGUCUGACAGGAGUGGAAACACUUUUUUCUUCGGACAGAUUACAAGGUGCUGCAUGGUUGUCGUCAGCUCGUGCCGUGAGGUGUCAGGUUAAGUCCUAUAACGAGCGCAACCCCUGUGGUUAGUUGCCAGCGAGUAAUGUCGGGAACUCUAGCCAGACUGCCGGUGCAAACCGUGAGGAAGGUGGGGAUGACGUCAAAUCAUCACGGCCCUUACGUCCUGGGCCACACACGUGCUACAAUGGUAGGGACAGAGAGCAGCCACUUCGCGAGAAGGAGCGAAUCUACAAACCCUAUCACAGUUCGGAUCGCAGUCUGCAACUCGACUGCGUGAAGCUGGAAUCGCUAGUAAUCGCAUAUCAGCCAUGAUGCGGUGAAUACGUUCCCGGGCCUUGUACACACCGCCCGUCAAGCCAUGGAAGCCGGGGGUACCUGAAGUC
rnacentral:rRNA from 1 species